CACUGACAUUAGAUACCCGGGUAGUCCAGGGUGUAAACGCUGCAGACUUGGUGUUGGAAGUCCUUUGGGGCAUUCAGUGCCGGAGAGAAGUUGUUAAGUCUGCUACUUGGGAGUACGUCCGCAAGGAUGAAACUUAAAGGAAUUGGCGGGGAGCACCGCAACGGAGGAGCGUGCGGUUUAAUUGGAUUCAACACCGUAAAACUCACCAGGGAAGACUGUUACAUGAAGGCCGAGAUGAAGACUCUGCUAGAUUUUCAG
rnacentral:rRNA from 1 species